rnacentral:misc_RNA from 1 species
CGCAUUUCCAUUCUCGUCGCGUACUACUCGGUAGGAGACCUGCUUGGAUUCCUCAUCCACCUCCGACAUCUUUCUACCAAUAAACCUCUUGACCGAAAAGAAAGUAUUCUCGGGAUUUACAACUGCCUGUCGCUUCGCAAUUUGACCCACAAGCCUGUCUCCGUUUUUUGUGUAAGCCACCACCGAUGGCGUCGUUCUCUGGCCUUCGGCGUUGGUUACAAUAGUUGGCUUCCCACCUUCCAUGGCCGCAACUGCGGAGUUAG